rnacentral:rRNA from 1 species
GCAGCAACGCCGCGUGAGGGAUGACGGCCUUCGGGUUGUAAACCUCUUUUAGUAGGGAAGAAGGGCUUCGGCUUGACGGUACCUGCAGAAAAAGCACCGGCUAACUACGUGCCAGCAGCCGCGGUAAUACGUAGGGUGCGAGCGUUGUCCGGAAUUAUUGGGCGUAAAGAGCUCGUAGGCGGUUUGUCACGUCUGCUGUGAAAUCCCGAGGCUCAACCUCGGGCCUGCAGUGGGUACGGGCAGACUGGAGUGCGGUAGGGGAGAAUGGAAUUCCUGGUGUAGCGGUGGAAUGCGCAGAUAUCAGGAGGAACACCGAUGGCGAAGGCAGUUCUCUGGGCCGUAACUGACGCUGAGGAGCGAAAGCGUGGGGAGCGAACAGGAUUAGAUACCCUGGUAGUCCACGCCGUAAACGUUGGGCGCUAGAUGUGGGGACCUUUCCACGGUUUCCGUGUCGUAGCUAACGCAUUAAGCGCCCCGCCUGGGGAGUACGGCCGCAAGGCUAAAACUCAAAGGAAUUGACGGGGGCCCGCACAAGCGGCGGAGCAUGCGGAUUAAUUCGAUGCAACGCGAAGAACCUUACCAAGGCUUGACAUAACCGAGAACGCCGCAGAAAUGUGGAACUCUU